rnacentral:lncRNA from 1 species
GAUCGGAAUGAGAUUUACAAACCCCAUGCUUUUAAUUUAUGUAACCUUGUUUGAGAAUAGGCGGUGUCUGGGAAAUCAAGCAUGCAAAACUGUAUCUCUUUGCUCAUACUGAUUGUGUGAGUAAAUCACAUAUGCGAUGGAUUACCCAGCGAAUAUUGCUGGGUAAAAGUCGAGUGUGUUGAUUGCCGUGACCCUGAGAAAGAAGAUCCGUUGUGCAAGAAAUUGGUAUAAGAUCUGGGUUGUGAGAAUUGUUUCGACUAUCCCAUCGUUCAUUUUGCUUUGUGUGAGUGUGGUGACACAUGCUGGAGUUGCUGGAAGCUGAAAACAUGACCUAGCUAUAUUAGUCAAGGGCAAAAUUAAGGAGGCAGUUAGGGCCUGUUUUUGUAACUAGA